rnacentral:rRNA from 1 species
AAGACUGGGAUAACUCCGGGAAACCGGAGCUAAUACCGGAUAGUUCCUUGAACCGCAUGGUUCAAGGAUGAAAGACGGUUUCGGCUGUCACUUACAGAUGGACCCGCGGCGCAUUAGCUAGUUGGUGAGGUAACGGCUCACCAAGGCGACGAUGCGUAGCCGACCUGAGAGGGUGAUCGGCCACACUGGGACUGAGACACGGCCCAGACUCCUACGGGAGGCAGCAGUAGGGAAUCUUCCGCAAUGGACGAAAGUCUGACGGAGCAACGCCGCGUGAGUGAUGAAGGUUUUCGGAUCGUAAAGCUCUGUUGUUAGGGAAGAACAAGUGCAAGAGUAACUGCUUGCACCUUGACGGUACCUAACCAGAAAGCCACGGCUAACUACGUGCCAGCAGCCGCGGUAAUACGUAGGUGGCAAGCGUUGUCCGGAAUUAUUGGGCGUAAAGGGCUCGCAGGCGGUUUCUUAAGUCUGAUGUGAAAGCCCCCGGCUCAACCGGGGAGGGUCAUUGGAAACUGGGAAACUUGAGUGCAGAAGAGGAGAGUGGAAUUCCACGUGUAGCGGUGAAAUGCGUAGAGAUGUGGAGGAACACCAGUGGCGAAGGCGACUCUCUGGUCUGUAACUGACGCUGAGGAGCGAAAGCGUGGGGAGCGAACAGGAUUAGAUACCCUGGUAGUCCACGCCGUAAACGAUGAGUGCUAAGUGUUAGGGGGUUUCCGCCCCUUAGUGCUGCAGCUAACGCAUUAAGCACUCCGCCUGGGGAGUACGGUCGCAAGACUGAAACUCAAAGGAAUUGACGGGGGCCCGCACAAGCGGUGGAGCAUGUGGUUUAAUUCGAAGCAACGCGAAGAACCUUACCAGGUCUUGACAUCCUCUGACAACCCUAGAGAUAGGGCUUUCCCUUCGGGGACAGAGUGACAGGUGGUGCAUGGUUGUCGUCAGCUCGUGUCGUGAGAUGUUGGGUUAAGUCCCGCAACGAGCGCAACCCUUGAUCUUAGUUGCCAGCAUUCAGUUGGGCACUCUAAGGUGACUGCCGGUGACAAACCGGAGGAAGGUGGGGAUGACGUCAAAUCAUCAUGCCCCUUAUGACCUGGGCUACACACGUGCUACAAUGGACAGAACAAAGGGCUGCGAGACCGCAAGGUUUAGCCAAUCCCACAAAUCUGUUCUCAGUUCGGAUCGCAGUCUGCAACUCGACUGCGUGAAGCUGGAAUCGCUAGUAAUCGCGGAUCAGCAUGCCGCGGUGAAUACGUUCCC